GAUGAAGAACGCAGCGAAAUGCGAUAAGUAAUGUGAAUUGCAGAAUUCAGUGAAUCAUCGAAUCUUUGAACGCACCUUGCGCCCUUUGGCCAUUCCGAAGGGCAUGCCUGUUUGAGUAUCAUGAACACCUCAACUCUUUAUGGUUUUCCAUGAUGAGCUUGGACUCUGGGGGUUUUGCUGGCUCACAGUCGGCUCCUCUAAAAUGAAUCAGCUUACCAGUGUUUGGUGGGUAUCAUGGGUGUGAUAACUAUCUACGCUUGUGGUUCUUCCACCAGGUAACCUUCAGCAGUGGAGGUUCGCUGGAGCUCAUAGAUGUCUCUCCUCAGUGAGGACAGCCCUUUGAAUGUUUGAUCUCAAAUCAGGUAGGACUACCCGCUGAACUUAAGCAUAUCAAUAAGCGGAGGA
rnacentral:misc_RNA from 1 species